rnacentral:lncRNA from 1 species
UUUAUAUGUGUUAACCAUUUAACUCUUGACAGCCCUACGAGAUAAAUUCUAUCUUUAUCUCCCUGCUUACACUGAGAACAUUGAGUUUGGGGAUGGUAAGUAACUUGCCUUAAGAUUAUAACUAGCAGGAGCCAGAAUUAAAACCCAGGUCAGUAGGAUUCCAGCCCAUGCUCCCAAACCACUCUAUAGUGCCAUCUGAAAAUCAGGAAAUGAGACUUCUGCUUCUGCUGAGAAUCCCUGUUUAUUCUCUUGCUCUUCCAAGCAGGUUACAGCCCACAUUAGCACUCUGCCUUUCUGAGCACUUUUAUAUCCAUAGCUUCUUCUGAAAAAUGUUGCUUUUGAAAAGGUAUUGUGAUAAGUACUUAAUGAAGACUUUUUUUUUUUGGUUGGGGGGUGGAUACCAGGGAUUGAGCCCAGGGCUCAAUCACUGAGCUGCAUCCCUAGCCCUUUUUAUUUUUUAUUUUAAGACAGGGUCUUGCUAAUUUGCUUAGGGCCUUGCUAAGUUGGCUAGGGCCUUGCUAAGUUGGUUAGGGCCUUGCUAAGUUGCUGAGGCUGGCCUUGAACUUGAGAAACUCUUGCCUUGGCCUCCCUAGUUUCUGGGAUUACAGGCAUGCACCACUGCGCCCACCUCUGAUGAAAACUUUGAAAGAUCUUUUUGAUCCUUAGACCAACCCUUUGGCGGGAUGUUUCCUCAGGUGAAUGGGUGGGGAAACUGAGGCUCACCAACCUUAAGAUUGUUGACUGCUUCUGAAAGCCUUCUAAAAAUGUCUACAAGCUUAAAGCUUCUUAAGAUACUUAAGCAGCCACUUUCAGGACAUUUUCAAAAUCACAC